AACGGCGAGUGAACAGGGACAAGCCCAGCACCGAAGCCUGUGGCUGUUUGGUCACUAGGCAAUGUGGUGUUUAGGUCAGCUCUUGGUGACUCGACCCCCCUCUAAGUCCAUCAAUGAGAAUGGCUAUUGUGAAUUGGCCCAUAGAGGGUGAGAGGCCCGUGAGGGUGGGGUUUGGGUUACCUUGGGUAGACCUUGGAGUCGGGUUGUUUGUGAAUGCAGCCCAAAGUGGGUGGUAAACUCCAUCCAAGGCUAAAUACUAACACGAGUCCGAUAGCGAACAAGUACCGUGAGGGAAAGUUGAAAAGUACUUUGAAGAGAGAGUAAACAGUGCGUGAAACCGCUCAGAGGUAAACGGGUGGAGUUGAACUGCAAGCUUUGAGAAUUUAACUGGUGAGCAUGGCAUACGCUUGGGUAUAUUGGUUGGCUAUCGUGGCUGUCAGAAGGUGGCUGCGUAUAGUAUGGCGAACCUGCUCGUUGGUGCAUUUUCUCAAAGUCAUCACCACGACCAGCGCUGUUGCCUUUCCGCUUUGGUUAAACCGUAUCUGUAUUGCCCUUGUGGCCUUAUGGGUUCGGGAUGGCAGGUAGCCUAUAUGAGCUGGCCUCAUAUAGGUGUAAUCAGCUGACCUUAGUGGCUUUGUGCGAUGCGCUGGAGACGGCGGCUUGUGGUGCGAACAUGCGUGCCUGUUGGCCGGGAAGCUUGGGUCUGAUGAACUUGUUGCCUGUAAAAACAGGCCGGAUUAUGGCUCAAGCUUUUUCGGUUGGCGGUUGCGUGUGGGGCACUUUAAUGGGCCUACAGUCUGUGGUGUAGUGGUAGACGAUCCACCCGACCCGUCUUGAAACACGGACCAAGGAGAGUAACAUGUACGCGAGUCAUUGGGCUUUACGAAACCCACAGGCGAAGUGAAAGUAAAGGUUUGGCUUUUGUCGAACUAAGGUGAGAUCCUCUCGUUUUUCACGCGCGGUACUACCAAGCAUGGAGCGAGAGGCGCAUCACCGGCCCGUCCCAUGACGUGGACAGUGUCGCAAGACAUUGCAUCGUCGGGGCGGAGCAUGAGCGUACAUGUUGAGACCCGAAAGAUGGUGAACUAUGCUUGCGCAGGUUGAAGCCAGAGGAAACUCUGGUGGAGGACCGCAGCGAUUCUGACGUGCAAAUCGAUCGUCAAACGUGAGCAUGGGGGCGAAAG
rnacentral:rRNA from 1 species